rnacentral:rRNA from 1 species
CCUACGGGAGGCAGCAGUGAGGAAUAUUGGUCAAUGGACGCAAGUCUGAACCAGCCAUGCCGCGUGCAGGAAGACGGCUCUAUGAGUUGUAAACUGCUUUUGUACGAGGGUAAACGCAGAUACGCGUAUCUGUCUGAAAGUAUCGUACGAAUAAGGAUCGGCUAACUCCGUGCCAGCAGCCGCGGUAAUACGGAGGAUUCAAGCGUUAUCCGGAUUUAUUGGGUUUAAAGGGUGCGUAGGCGGUCUGUUAAGUUAGAGGUGAAAUCCCGAGGCUCAACUUCGGAAGUGCCUCUGAUACUGGUAGGCUAGAGAGUAGUAGCGGUAGGCGGAAUGUGUGGUGUAGCGGUGAAAUGCUUAGAGAUCAUACAGAACACCGAUUGCGAAGGCAGCUUACCAGGCUACUUCUGACGUUGAGGCACGAAAGCGUGGGGAGCAAACAGGAUUAGAUACCCGAGUAGUC